GGUACUACCAAAAUUUUUCUUUUUCAUAACCAGCUGUGUUGGGUAGUAACGUAAGGCCGCGUGCACAUCGGAGAGCGUUGCGCGGUGAGCGAUGAGUGACGAGCGGUGAGCAGUAGUGUGUAUCAAACAGCUAGCGAUUAGCGUUGUCUGCAAUAUUUAGUAGUCCUUCAGCCAUCAUUAUGGCACUCUCCUCAAAAUGUCUGCGUAUUUUGUUACUACAAAAUGCAUUACUCCGAAAACGGUUUUUAAGGAAAAAACAAAAGCAUUGGAGUUCGCGAAAUGAACAAAAAACGAAAAACGCUAGGUGAGUUUUCAUAAUAUUUAUUGUGAACUAAGAAAAGAUCGGGAAAGGUUUUUUUUUUUAAUUUUAUUACGCAUGUCAAUGGAAACUUUUGAUUUUUUUGUAAUCAGGGUGUCUCGAUCACUCCACAAGAGAGGUCUUGAUUGGAUUUCGGAAAUCAAAAGUUUUCGUUGCUCUAUAGAAAAAUUCACUUUCGAGCUCAUGAUGGUGUGUUAACGCUGGUCGACACCGCUCACAAUUCGAGACGACUUGAAAAAUAAACAUCAUAUCGCGCACCGCGCAUCGCCAACGCCCAAGGUCAGCGUACACGGUUCCGUUAAAAUUCCCGUGUUUGAUUUAUUUUCGUCAACGCUCGUCGCUCAUAGCUCACCGCGCAACACUCUCCAUUGCGCACGCACGCAAAUGGAAGACGUAUAACAUUGUAAUGCGCCAGGAUUGUUUACAAGCGACGAAAAUGCAAUGGAAAUUAAGCGUGUGUUAUAAACAUUAGUGUUUGAUUUUUGCGGUUCGAAACACGGCGAAAUUAUUUUUUAUAGUACCCACUAACGAUCGACAAAUCUAAAUAAUAUUAUUAUGAUUAUAGUAUUAUAGAUUUAUAGCCAUUCGUGAGAAACAGAAAAACAGUUUAUUUUUAUAAAUUAUUAUUAAUGCACUUACCAUCAAUAAAUGAACACGG